rnacentral:rRNA from 1 species
UAAGGAAUAUUGGUCAAUGGACGCAAGUCUGAACCAGCCAUGCCGCGUGAAGGAUGAAGGUCCUCUGGAUUGUAAACUUCUUUUAUCUGGGACGAAAACGGGAUUUUUAUCUCAAUUGACGGUACCAGAGGAAUAAGCACCGGCUAACUCCGUGCCAGCAGCCGCGGUAAUACGGAGGGUGCGAGCGUUAUCCGGAUUUACUGGGUUUAAAGGGUGCGUAGGUGGGCUUAUAAGUCAGUGGUGAAAUCUCCGAGCUUAACUUGGAAACCGCCGUUGAUACUAUAGGUCUUGAAUUAUCUGGAGNUAAGCGGAAUAUGUCAUGUAGCGGUGAAAUGCUUAGAUAUGACAUAGAACACCAAUUGCGAAGGCAGCUUACUACAUAUAAAUUGACGCUGAGGCACGAAAGCGUGGGGAUCAAACA